GGGGAUUUAGCUCAGCGGCAUAAGCGCCUGCCUUGGCAAGCAGGUAGUCGUGAGUUCAAUCCCCG
rnacentral:tRNA from 1 species